UCCCUCUUUUAAUAUUCAAAUAGUACCGCCUCCCCCCAUUUUCUCCCCCAUAAUCUCCACUGCCUAUCUCAUUUACAUAAUAUUAACCUCCAAUGUUUACCUCUAUUUAAUACUACUUCUUUUCAUUAUAUUUCAGCAUGGGAUGCACAAGACUAUACCGUCAUAUAUAUGCAAAGGAAUGCAAAAGUGCAGAGUUUUGUUCUAUCAACACCCAAUUCGAAUUCAUUCAUUGGGAUUGAAUUUUCAGGAAAGCGUGGAGUAUUUUUCGGGCAGGCACUCGCUGGUGGAGGUGGUGUCUCAUACAAGAAGAUUUUCAAUUGAACACUGAAAAGAUGAAUAAACGGCUAAUUUACUGUGUAACUUCGAUUAAAAUUUGAAUUUUUUUUUUUAGAUCAUGAUAUCCAAAAUUGCACUAACAUCAUUUAUUCUUUUCUUUUCACACAGGUACAUGAAGGUGGAAACUAAUUCAAGA